AUUGAACGCUGGCGGCAGGCCUAACACAUGCAAGUCGAGCGGGGUUUUCGGACCUAGCGGCGGACGGGUGAGAAAUGAGUAGGAAGCUACCCGGUAGAGGGGGAUAACAGUUGGAAACGACUGUUAAUACAGCAUAAUGACUACGGACAACAGUGUGGGACCUUCGGGCCCCAUGCCAUCGGACGUGCCUAAGUGGGAUUAGCUAGUUGGUGGGGUAAUGGCUCACCAAGGAGACGAUCACUAGCUGGUUUGAGAGGAUGAUCAGCCACACUGGAACUGAGACACGGUCCAGACUCCUACGGGAGGCAGCAGUGGGGAAUAUUGGACAAUGGGCGCAAGCCUGAUCCAGCCAUGCCGCGUGUGUGAAGAAGGCCUUCGGGUUGUAAAGCACUUUCAGUAGGGAGGAAGGGGGUUGUGUUAAUAGCACAGCAUUUAGACGUUACCUACAGAAGAAGCACCGGCUAACUCUGUGCCAGCCGCCGCAGUAACAC
rnacentral:rRNA from 1 species